rnacentral:misc_RNA from 1 species
GAUGAAAGAACGCAGCGAAAUGCGAUAAGUAGUGUGAAUUGCAGAAUUCAGUGAAUCAUCGAAUCUUUGAACGCACAUUGCGCCCCAUGGUAUUCCGUGGGGCAUGCCUGUUCGAGCGUCAUUUACCCCCUCAAGCUCCGCUUGGUGUUGGGCGUCUGUCCCGCUUCGCGCGCGGACUCGCCCCAAAGGUAUUGGCAGCGGUCGUGCCAGCUUCUCGCGCAGCACAUUGCGCUUCUCGAGGCACCGGUGGGCCCGCGUCCAUCAAGCUCACCCCCCCAGUUUGACCUCGGAUCAGGUAGGGAUACCCGCUGAACUUAAGCAUAUCAAUAAGCGGAGGA